rnacentral:rRNA from 1 species
UACAGAGGUCUCAAGCGUUGUUCGGAUUCAUUGGGCGUAAAGGGUGCGUAGGCGGGUCUUUAAGGCAGGGGUGAAAUCCUGGAGCUCAACUCCAGAACUGCCUUUGAUACUGAGGAUCUUGAGUUCGGGAGAGGUGAGUGGAACUGCGAGUGUAGAGGUGAAAUUCGUAGAUAUUCGCAAGAACACCAGUGGCGAAGGCGGCUCACUGGCCCGAUACUGACGCUGAGGCACGAAAGCGUGGGGAGCAAACAGG